GUGCCAGCAGCCGCGGUAAUACGGAGGAUGCGAGCGUUAUCCGGAUUCAUUGGGUUUAAAGGGUGCGCAGGCGGACGAUUAAGUCAGCGGUGAAAAGUAUGCGCUCAACGCAUAUCGUGCCGUUGAAACUGGUUGACUAGGAUACGUAUGCUGUGGGAGGAAUGUGUAGUGUAGCGGUGAAAUGCAUAGAUAUUACACAGAACACCGAUUGCGAAGGCAUCUCACAAAUACGUCAUUGACGCUGAGGCACGAAAGUGCGGGGAUCAAACAGGAUUAGAUACCCUGGUAGUCCGCACAGUAAACGAUGAUAACUCGCUGUUGGCCUGCAAAGGUCAGUGGCCAAGCGAAAGCGAUAAGUUAUCCACCUGGGGAGUACGACCGCAAGGUUGAAACUCAAAGGAAUUGACGGGGGCCCGCACAAGCGGAGGAACAUGUGGUUUAAUUCGAUGAUACGCGAGGAACCUUACCCGGGCUCGAACGGUGCAUGAAGGACCCAGAGAUGGGAACGCUCUUUGGAGCAUGUAUCGAGGUGCUGCAUGGUUGUCGUCAGCUCGUGCCGUGAGGUGUCGGCUUAAGUGCCAUAACGAGCGCAACCCUUGUUGUCAGUUACCAGCGCGUAAAGGCGGGGACUCUGGCGAGACUGCCACCGUAAGGUGAGAGGAGGGGGGGGAUGACGUCAAAUCAGCACGGCCCUUACGUCCGGGGCGACACACGUGUUACAAUGGCCGGUACAGAGGGGAGCUAGCUGGUGACAGUGUGCAAAUCUCAAAAGCCGGUCUCAGUUCGGAUCGGAGUCUGCAACUCGACUCCGUGAAGUUGGAUUCGCUAGUAAUCGCGCAUCAGCCAUGGCGCGGUGAAUACGUUCCCGGGCCUUGUACACACCGCCCGU
rnacentral:rRNA from 1 species